CCUACGGGAGGCAGCAGUGAGGAAUUUUCCGCAAUGGGCGAAAGCCUGACGGAGCAAUGCCGCGUGAAGGAUGAAGGCCUAUGGGUUGUAAACUUCUUUUCUCAGAGAAGAAAUUUUGACGGUAUCUGAGGAAUAAGCAUCGGCUAACUCUGUGCCAGCAGCCGCGGUAAGACAGAGGAUGCAAGCGUUAUCCGGAAUGAUUGGGCGUAAAGUGUCUGUAGGUGGCUUAAAAAGUCUCCUGUCAAAGAUCAGGGCUUAACCCUGGGCCGGCAGGAGAAACUCUUAGGCUAGAGUUUGGUAGGGGCAGAGGGAAUUCCCGGUGGAGCGGUGAAAUGCGUAGAGAUCGGGAGGAACACCAAAGGCGAAAGCACUCUGCUGGGCCACAACUGACACUCAGAGACGAAAGCGAGGGGAGCAAAAGGGAUUAGAUACCCCUGUAGUCCUCGCCGUAAACGAUGGAUACUAGAUGUUGGAUAGGUUAAAUCAUUCAGUAUCGUAGCUAACGCGUGAAGUAUCCCGCCUGGGGAGUAUGCUCGCAAGAGUGAAACUCAAAGGAAUUGACGGNNGAGAGNGCGAGACGACGACGAGGGAGAG
rnacentral:rRNA from 1 species